GGAGAUGGCAUGCUCCAUGUGAGGAACAGGAGGGAGACAAGGAUGGCUGGACCUAGAGUACAUGGGAGGGAAGACAAUAUAAGAGGCCAAUGGAAGGUUGGCAGAGGCCAUGUUGAGAAGAAUUUUAAAUGCCAAAAGUAAUUUUAUUUCCUGUUGGUAAUCGAGAGGCACUAGACUUUAUUGAGUAACUGACAUUCUUUUUUCUCUGUUCAAGGAAAAUCCCUCUGUCAGGACUUCCUGAUGUCUGUGCUGCCAUGGUAUGACCUUUCUAUAACUGCCUGCAUAGCAUGAUGAAGUAUCAGACUACUUCAAUGGAAGAAAAAGAAGAUUAUUUACUUAAAGUGGUUCAAGCAUAUUCUUAUUUCUCAUAAUUCAACUGAAGCUGCUCUCGCCAAAGUUAUUAACGAUCUCUGAUUGCCAAAUCUGAUUUUUUUUCUUUCUCCCUUCUUGACCUCACUGUAACACUCAACACUGCUAAUCCCCCUCUCCU